rnacentral:rRNA from 1 species
AGCGAACGCUGGCGGCAGGCCUAACACAUGCAAGUCGAGCGCCGUAGCAAUACGGAGCGGCAGACGGGAGAGUAACACGUGGGAACGUACCCUUUGGUUCGGAACAACCCAGGGAAACUUGGGCUAAUACCGGAUAAGCCCUUACGGGGAAAGAUUCAUCGCCGAAGGAUCGGCCCGCGUCUGAUUAGCUAGUUGGUGGGGUAAUGGCCCACCAAGGCGACGAUCAGUAGCUGGUCUGAGAGGAUGAUCAGCCUCACUGGGACUGAGACACGGCCCAGACUCCUACGGGAGGCAGCAGUGGGGAAUAUUGGACAAUGGGCGCAAGCCUGAUCCAGCCAUGCCGCGUGGGUGAUGAAGGCCCUUGGGUUGUAAAGCCCUUUCGGCGGGGAAGAUAAUGACGGUACCCGCAGAAGAAGCCCCGGCUAACUUCGUGCCAGCAGCCGCGGUAACAC